UACGUAGGGGGCAAGCGUUGUCCGGAUUCAUUGGGCGUAAAGAGCUCGUAGGCGGCUUGGCAAGUCGGGUGUGAAAACUCCAGCUCAACCUGGAGACGCCACCCGAUACUGCCAUGGCUAGAGUCCGGUAGGGGACCACGGAAUUCCUGGUGUAGCGGUGAAAUGCGCGGAUAUCAGGAGGACACCGGUGGCGAAGGCGGUGGAUCGUGGGCCGGAACGUCGGGCGCUGGAGGAGCCGAA
rnacentral:rRNA from 1 species